rnacentral:rRNA from 1 species
CCUACGGGAGGCUGCAGUGGGGAAUAUUGGACAAUGGGGGGAACCCUGAUCCAGCCAUGCCGCGUGUGUGAAGAAGGCCCUCGGGUUGUAAAGCACUUUCAGUGAGGAAGAACGCCUGGUGGUUAAUACCCAUCAGGAAAGACAUCACUCACAGAAGAAGCACCGGCUAACUCCGUGCCAGCAGCCGCGGUAAUACGGAGGGGGCGAGCGUUAAUCGGAAUUACUGGGCGUAAAGCGCGCGUAGGUGGCUUGAUAAGCCGGUUGUGAAAGCCCCGGGCUCAACCUGGGAACGGCAUCCGGAACUGUCAAGCUAGAGUGCAGGAGAGGAAGGUAGAAUUCCCGGUGUAGCGGUGAAAUGCGUAGAGAUCGGGAGGAAUACCAGUGGCGAAGGCGGCCUUCUGGACUGACACUGACACUGAGGUGCGAAAGCGUGGGUAGCAAACAGGAUUAGAUACCCGAGUAGUC